rnacentral:rRNA from 1 species
CAUCAGAGCUUCGAUUAAGCCAUGUUAGUUANGGGGACCUUCCUUCGGGAAGGUAACCCGGCAGACGGCUCAGUAACACGUGGACAACUUACCCUUGGGAUCAGGAUAACCCCUGGGAAACUGGGGCUAAUACUGGAUAGAGCAUCGGCUGCUGGAAUGUGCGAUGUUCGAAAGCUGAGGCGCCCAAGGAUAGGUCUGCGGCUGAUUAGGUUGUUGUUGAUGUAACGGAUCAACAAGCCCGCGAUCGGUACGGGUUGUGAGAGCAAUAGCCCGGAGAUGGGUUCUGAGAGAAGAACCCAGGUCCUACGGGACGCAUCAGGCGCGAAAACUUUACAAUGUGCGAAAGCGCGAUAAGGGAACUCUGAGUGCCUCCUAAGGAGGCUGUUCAGGUGUCUAAAAAGCAUCUGGAGUAAGGGCUGGGCAAGACCGGUGCCAGCCGCCGCGGUAAGACCGGCAGCUCAAGUGGUAGCCAUGCUUAUUGGGUCUAAAGCGUCCGUAGCCGGCUGAGUAAGUUCCUUGGGAAAUUUGACCGCUUAACGGUUAAGCUAUCAGGGAAUACUGCUUGGCUUGGGACCGGGAGAGGUCAGAGGUACUCCAGGGGUAGGGGUGAAAUCUAUUAAUCCUUGGGGGACCACCGGUAGCGAAGGCGUCUGACCAGACCGGGUCCGACGGUGAGGGACGAAGGCUGGGGUCGCGAACCGGAUUAGAUACCCGGGUAGUCCCAGCUGUAAACGAUGCGGGCCAGGUGUUGGCAUUACUGCGAGUGAUGUCAGUGCCAAAGGGAAGCCGUUAAGCCCGCCAUCUGGGGAGUACGGUGCGCAAGGCUGAAACUUAAAGAAAUUGGCGGGGGAGCACCACAACGGGUGGAGCUGCGGUUNAAUUGGAUUCAACG